rnacentral:rRNA from 1 species
GAUGAACGCUAGCUACAGGCUUAACACAUGCAAGUCGAGGGGCAGCGGGAUUGAAGCUUGCUUCAAUUGCCGGCGACCGGCGCACGGGUGAGUAACGCGUAUCCAACCUUCCGUACACUCAGGGAUAGCCUUUCGAAAGAAAGAUUAAUACCUGAUGGUAUGAUGAGAUUGCAUGAUAGCAUCAUUAAAGAUUUAUCGGUGUACGAUGGGGAUGCGUUCCAUUAGGUAGUAGGCGGGGUAACGGCCCACCUAGCCUACGAUGGAUAGGGGUUCUGAGAGGAAGGCCCCCCACAUUGGAACUGAGACACGGUCCAAACUCCUACGGGAGGCAGCAGUGAGGAAUAUUGGUCAAUGGACGAGAGUCUGAACCAGCCAAGUAGCGUGAAGGAUGAAGGUCUUACGGAUUGUAAACUUCUUUUAUAAGGGAAUAAACCCUCCACGUGUGGGAGCUUGUAUGUACCUUAUGAAUAAGCAUCGGCUAACUCCGUGCCAGCA